rnacentral:rRNA from 1 species
AUUGAACGCUGGCGGCAGGCCUAACACAUGCAAGUCGAGCGGAUGAAGGGAGCUUGCUCCUGGAUUCAGCGGCGGACGGGUGAGUAAUGCCCAGGAAUCUGCCUGGUAGUGGGGGAUAACGUCCGGAAACGGGCGCUAAUACCGCAUACGUCCUGAGGGAGAAAGUGGGGGAUCUUCGGACCUCACGCUAUCAGAUGAGCCUAGGUCGGAUUAGCUAGUUGGUGGGGUAAAGGCCUACCAAGGCGACGAUCCGUAACUGGUCUGAGAGGAUGAUCAGUCACACUGGGACUGAGACACGGUCCAGACUCCUACGGGAGGCAGCAGUGGGGAAUAUUGGACAAUGGGCGAAAGCCUGAUCCAGCCAUGCCGCGUGUGUGAAGAAGGUCUUCGGAUUGUAAAGCACUUUAAGUUGGGAGGAAGGGCAGUAAGUUAAUACCUUGCUGUUUUGACGUUACCAACAGAAUAAGCACCGGCUAACUUCGUG